UGCAGUUCCAAGCAAAACAAUUUUUUGCAAUACACCUAGAUUGUAGGAUACUUCUAAAGUUUCCAGAUAUUUCUUCAGGUUGGGUAGUAUUGAAACCAAUGCUUCAAUGACAACAGGGACAACCUUUGUGUUUGACUC